rnacentral:rRNA from 1 species
GACGAACGCUGGCGGCGUGCCUAAUACAUGCAAGUCGAACGCAGUGGGUACGGGUGAGUAACACGUGGGUAACCUCCCAUCAGAGGGGAUAACACUUGGAAACAGGUGUUAAUCCGAUACUGAUGGAUGGACCCGCGGUGAAUUAGUUAGUUGGUGAGGUAACGGCUCACCAAGGCCACGAUGCAUAGCCGACCUGAGAGGGUGAUCGGCCACACUGGGACGGAGACACGGCCCAGACUCCUACGGGAGGCAGCAGUAGGGAAUCUUGGGCAAUGGACGAAAGUCUGACCGAGCCACGCCGCGGGAAUGAAGAAGGUUUUCGGAUCGUAAAACUCUUUUGUUAGAGAAGCGGUAUCUAACCAGAAAGCCACGGCUAACUACGUGCCAGCAGCCGCGGUAAUAC